UAUUGGUGAUGACAAAGGGGGGGAGGGGGAUGGUGGACGUACACUUCAAGGUCAAAUCAUCACCACAGCUGCAGAGAGAGAGAGAGAGAGAGAGAGAGAGAGAGAGAGAGAGAGAGAGAGAGAGAGAGAGAGAGUAAAAAGGAAAAAAAAUAGAUUAACGAUAUUUAUUGAAGACGCUUGGUCAUCACACACACACACACACACACACACACACACACGGAGGAAGUAAGCCUAUGUGUGUGUAAUUGUGUGUACGUCCGGCCCUUGAGGUUACGUACAUGAUCGUGAAGAAAGGAACCAGUGGUGUGUGUGUGUGUGUGUGUGUGUGUGUGUGUCAGCAAGUUUGAAAUCAUAUACUGUUCAUUUCUCUGUCAUAUGUUCUUCUUCUUCCUCUUCUUCUUCCUCUUCCUCUUUUUUCUUCUUUUCUAUUUCACCUUUUUUUUCUUCAUCUUGUUUUUCUUGUUCACCUCUUUCCCUUUUUCUUCUUCUUCUUCUUCACCUGCUUCUUCGCCUUCAUUUUCUUCACCUUCUUUUUCUUCUUUUUCAGCUUUUCUUCCUCUUCUUCUUCUUCAGUAUCAUUAUCUAUCUUGCUAUCUUAAUACGAAUACAGAUGGUGAUGAUAGUGGUGGUGGUGAGUGAAGAUGGUGGUGGUGGUUGUGGUGGUGUCAUGUGGUUUUGGUAGUGACGACCUUGGCGGAGUGUAAGGACCCAGGCGCCUAAUCUAGUAUGAGGUGUGGAUGAGGCUGGAUUAGUAUGUAUGUGGUGUGGGUCGCGUGGGUGAGGCUGGGAGGAAGGGAGAGUGAAUGGGAGAGUGGGAGAGGAGAAGGGAGGUAGAGAGAGAUCAAGUGAUGGAGACUACCAGCAUGUUGUUUUGGUGUUGGAAGAGGAGGUGGAGGAGGAGGAGAAGAAGAACUAGUGGAGGAAGAGGAAGAGGAAGAGAGUGGGCAUGAAAGGAGGUAAGGAAGAGGAGGAAGAUAUAUGGGGUCGUAUCAUAAAACAUACCGUCGCCCAAGAACACGUAUUUGACAAGGCUUUCGUAGGAGUUGUGUGCAUUUUCAGGAGUAGAUUUAUGACCCUGGUGUUAGUGUGAUCCUUCUUCUGUACCGUGAAACUAAAGAAACACUCAUUAGAACCCGACUGAACCCUCCUUUGACCUUUAGAAAUAGUUGAUGUGAGAAGCGAAUGUGUUUUAUAAUAUCAACCAUGAAGUGUUGGUGGAGGGGAAGGAUUGGUGUGAGAGAGAAGGUAAGGAAAAGGAAGAGAAGAAAACAAUAAAUGGUGGAGGAGGAAGAGGAUGAGGAGAGGUGUAGAAAGAGAGGAGGUAUGGAGGAGCUGCGGGAGGAGAGGAGGAAGAUUGAUAAAGGAAGAAAGAGCUGGAGAUUAACUUUAUCGAAGGAAGAAAAAAAAAGUGUUAUUUAGAAGGAUAGAAGAGAAACUGAGCAUGACGUGGAGGAAAUAAUGAAGAGAAGGAGAGAAUAAAGAAAGUUACUAAACGAGGAGAAGAUGACUGAAAAUUAAUUGAGGCUUAUAUUUAUGGAAAGGAUGAAAUGUAUAGAAAAAAAAAGAAAAUGGGAAAAGGUGGAAAAAGGGUAACAAAAUGAGAAGCAGUGAUAGAUAAGAGAUAGUGAACGGAUGAAGAGGAGUAGAAGGAGAAGAUGAUAGUGAUGGAAAGGAAGAUGUAAUAGAUAGAAAAAAACUGAUAUAUAUAUAGAAAGGAAGAUGUGAUAGAAAAAUAACAGAAAGACGAUGUGAUAGAUAGAAAAGUAAUGGAAAGGAAAUUGUGAUAGAGAUAGAAGGAGGAGGAGAUAAAGAGAAACAGGACAGAGACAAGAACACGAAGAGGAAAAUAGAAUAAAAAGGAAAAUAAAUAACAAGAUGAGAUAGGCGGGGAGGAGGAAAAGGAGGUAGGGAGGGAAAUAAAAGAGAUGGCAAGGAAGGGAGAGUUGGAAAAAGAAGAAAAAGAAAUCUAAAGGAAGGAAGAUGAAGGAAAAGAAAGACGAGCAGGGAAAAAGAAAAAAAAUAUAGAUAGAAAGAAAGAUGUCCAGCUAUUAGUAAGAAAGUAUCAGAAAGCAAAAACGAAUCAUCCAAUCUGACAUUCCUUAACUUGUCAACAGUGCAGGUGUGUGAAGGAGGGAGGUGUGUUACAGGUGAAAGUCUAAUUAAGAACGCCAGGUGUAAGGAGUUCAGGACCGAGGGAAUGGAGAACGGAUGGGGCUUAGAGGAGGAGGAUAAGAAUUUAAUUAGUGAAGAAAAGGUGUACAGGCUUAAUUACAGGUGUUUACGAUUUAAUUAAGGGACCAAUUAGUAAUAUAAACCAGGUGAUGGGAGAUAAGAGAGGAGAGUUAAUUAGUGAAGAGGUGAGGUUUAAUUACAGGCACUCAGGUGUUAAUUAAUAGAGGAAUUAUUAGUGUACACCAGGUGAUGUUUUAAGGGCAAUAAGGAAGAAUUAAUCAGAAAAAAGUAUGGAGGCUCUUUGUACAUGACGAAACACACACACACACACACACACACACACACACACACACACACACACACACACACACUGUUAUAUUAAUCAAGACAGCAAUUAGUAAAAGAAACCAAGUAACGCCAAAAAGUAACGAGAUGUGGAAGAAAGGAGGAAGAUAACAAGAGGAGGAGGAGGAGGAGAUUGAUACUAACAGAGGAGUAUUAAAGAAAGAAACCAAUGAGCCAGGAACAGGUAUGAAAGGCAAUGAUUACAGGUGAUCAUAUCUCAAUUAAGAAAACAUAUAAUACCGAUGGUCAGAUUAUGUGAAAAAACAGGUUCGUGGAGUUAAAUGAAAAGGCAUCACGUAACAGGAAAAAAAAAGCCUGCAAGAGUAUGGUAGGCCUACACUAGGGGGUUAGGGGGCAAGGUAGCAUAGAACAGGUAUCAGGUAAGACGGUAGAUGAGGUCACAGGUGUAAUAGAAUAGAUGAGAUAGAAGAAUAGAUGAGAGAGAGGAGGUAAGGAGGAGGAGAGGAGAAAUACUGAUAAAGGAAGAAAGAGUUGGAGAAGAGAUUUUUUGGGGGGGAAAGGAAGAAGUGCGAGAGAUAGGCUAAUAGGAAAGUUAAUGGAAACAGGUAAGGGGAGGGGGCAACGCAACAGGUAAGUAGGUAAAACAGGUAGGAGGUGAGGCCGUAGAUGAGGUCACAGGUGCAAUGGAAAGCCAGGUGAGUGGAGAGAUAAUAGGAAAGUUAAUGAAAACAGGUGAGGGGUGGAGGCAAAACAACAGGUAAACAGGUAAAACAGUAACAAUAAUAGCAAUACGAAGAAGAGCAAAAUGAAAGAGAGGGGAAGAGAAGGAAGAUGAUAAAUAUUAAGAAAUGAAGAUAAAAAAAUAAAAUAGGAAGGAAGAGGAAGAAAAAGAAAGAUAGAAUAGAAGGGAGAUUAAGAAAAGAGAAAUAGAAAAGGAUAGGUAAGGCAGAAGAUUAGGUCACAGGUGUAAUUAUAGACGGCCAGGUAAGAGCAAGGUAAUGGGGAAGCAAAUAGAGGUGAAGCAGGUAAGGGAAGGGGGGAAAACAACAGGUAAUUAGGUAAAACAGGUAAAAGGUAAGGCAGAAGAUUAAGUCGCAGGUAUAAUAAUAGACAGCCAGGUAAUGGAACGCAGGUAAUGGGGAAGCAAAUAGAGGUGAAUAGGGCAUGAAGGGGGCAAGGUAAUGGAGAGGUGAGAGUGAGGUGAGGUAGACAUAAAGGUAAAGGGGGCAUGUUAAUGGGGGGCGUGGCAGGUAAUGAGGGCCGGGGGGGGCGGUGCAGGUGUGGGGGGCGUGGUGGUGGCCUUGUAACACCUAGUUCGGACCCACUAGAGUGCCCCCGGGAGGGUUGUAUGCACGAAGAAGAGAAGGAGGAGGAAACAUGGAAACAUGGAAAUGCAGGCAACAGAAAGCCUAUUGGCUCAUUACGAGGUCGCCCGCUUUGGUGAUUUUAUCUGCUCGACAGCCACUUAGGGCUUGAGGAGCAGAUGAAAGCACCUCGAUAUUGAGGAGCAGAUGGAAGCGCCUCGUUAUUCAGUUUACUCCCGACGCAGCGAAAUGACAGUCGAUUCUAUAUUUGAAGGAGUUGAUGAUAUUCGCAUUUACUACUUCUGAGGGAAGAUUGUUCCAGUGGCGGAUGACUCGGUUUGAAAAGAAACUCCUUCCAAUGUCUGUGUUACAUCGACUCGACUGAAUGGGUAAACCGUUAUUUCUAGUUCUUGAGUUGGUUUGCAGUUCAAAGAAUUUGGAGUAAUCGACGUUAUUGAACUUUUUCAGAUACUUGAAGACUUGAAUCUUAUCCCCUCGUAGGCGUCUUUUCUCCAAUGUAAAGAGAAUAAUAACAAUAAUAGCAAUACGGAAAAGAGCUAAAAUGAGAGAGGGGGAAAAGGAGGACGAAAGAGGAGAUAGCAGAAGAAAGGAAGAGAAGGAAAAGUAAGAGAUGGGGAGGAAAGUACAGGAAGAAAUAAAAGGGAGAUGGACCUAAAAGAUAGGAAAGGAGAAAAAGAAAA